CCUACGGGGGGCAGCAGUGAGGAAUAUUGGUCAAUGGGCUUACGCCUGAACCAGCCAAGUCGCGUGAGGGAAGACUGCCCUAUGGGUUGUAAACCUCUUUUGUCAGGGAGCAAUGGGCGCUACGUGUAGCGUUAUCGAGAGUACCUGAAGAAAAAGCAUCGGCUAACUCCGUGCCAGCAGCCGCGGUAAUACGGAGGAUGCGAGCGUUAUCCGGAUUUAUUGGGUUGAAAGGGUGCGUAGGCGGAAUGCCAAGUCAGCGGUAAAAUCGCGGGGCUCAACCUCGCUCCGCCGUUGAAACUGGCGGUCUUGAGUGCGCGAGAAGUAUGCGGAAUGCGUGGUGUAGCGGUGAAAUGCAUAGAUAUCACGCAGAACUCCGAUUGCGAAGGCAGCAUACCGGCGCCCAACUGACGCUGAAGCACGAAAGCGUGGGUAUCGAACAGGAUUAGAUACCCUUGUAGUC
rnacentral:rRNA from 1 species